UACGGAGGUGGCAAGCGUUGUUCGGAAUUACUGGGCGUAAAGGGCGCGUAGGCGGUUCGUUAAGUCCUGUGUGAAAUCCCCCGGCUCAACUGGGGAACUGCACAGGAAACUAGCGGGCUUGAGUUCGGGAGAGGGAAGCGGAAUUCCGGGUGUAGCGGUGAAAUGCGUAGAUAUCCGGAGGAACACCGGUGGCGAAGGCGGCUUCCUGGACCGACACUGACGCUGAGGCGCGAAAGCUAGGGGAGCAAACAGG
rnacentral:rRNA from 1 species